UUAACACUAACGACUGGAGUGUGGACCUCAGUUAAUACGUGGGUAUAUGCUCCUAAAAACCAAUGAGGAGAUGGGACAGGCAGGACUUGCAGCGCGCCAAGAGUAAGAAAUAGACCAAAUUCUGUUUUAGCGCCUGGCUACGCAGACGCUCGUUGAUGUGCGCGAGCAGUGUGGGUGCAAUGAUUGAAUGACAUGUAUGUGUACAUUUAUUUUGCAACGCGAGCGCUGUGGUCAGCAUGCUUAACUCAAAUGAGCUGCUAACGUAGCUAGCUAGCUAUCUAGCCAACUUUACAUACUGUAUAGAUAGAUAUAUAGAUAGCUAAGUGAAUUAAAUAUCACCAGCUACCUAACCUCAUAUUAGCUAGCUAUCUUGAUGUAUUUAUCACUGUAAAAAACAAACUCCAAAUACAUUUGUAGGUAGCUAGCUAACAGCCAUGGAGGAGGGUGAAAGGAUAGUAGCCCCAACUCAAAGUGAGAGUAGGCUAUUCUGGAUAGGGCAGGUACUUUUGUGUAGUUCCAGUCCCUAGAAGUGAGGACAGAGAUAAUAGUAACAUAAUAUUCAGUGCGGUCUAAUUUGAGUAUAAUGAAGUAUUUUUUUUUUUUGCGAUGUUUUCUGUCCUCGGAUACAGAGAGCUGUGAAAGCCUGUCUGCAGAUGAAGAGGUCCCAAUGAAGAGCAGUGGUUGUCAGUCCUGAUCCUGGGGACUCAAAGGGAUACCUUGUAACUGGAGAUUCCUUAAAAACGACUGCCUACAGUUACCAUGUAGGGCACUGCAAGGUUGGGUGACCAGGGCCAUCUGGGACUGCCUCCUAGGGGAAUUCAGGCAUGUGAUGGCUACCUGUGUCCUGUAUAACUUCAUAAGGAUGGACACGAGGACCAGGAGGGGAUCUGCAGCUCGCCGCCGUGUGCCAGAGAGGUCUGCUGCUCUGCAGGAUGUUUCAAGGAUGGGGGCCAACAACGCAGCAUAGGAGGCAAUCCAUGUGCAGGAGAUCUUCACCUCCUACUUCUUCGAAAAGGGUACUGUUUUCUCAAUAACAGUCUCUCUCCUUCACUUCAUCCCUCUCCCCACUUCUCCCUAAAUCAUCUCGGUUAUAUCAGCUGUGUCGGUGAACCCCUCCCGCAUCUGAACUGGCUGACACAUAAAGGGCACAGCAUGAUCAGAGGUAUGUUUUGAUGUGAGAGAGGAUGCAAACCCCCAGUCCCGUCAUCGCCAUCUCACCCGCUCUUAAGAUAACCUUCGGGCCAACUGGGGGCCCAAGACUGUUAGGAGACACAGCUAGAGACACUAUUAUGUAAUUGUGAUAAACUGAGAGAAUAUUAGGGUAGCACUGUAAUUCAUUAAUCAUAUGCUGCCUUCCCUGCUCCUCUGUUCUUACCUCUUUCCCUUAGUCUUUUACACUCUCUCACACCUCUCUACCCACCUCUUUCUUCCUGUUUUUUAUAUAAUGCACACCAGAUGUGCAUUGAAGUACAGACUGAACUUGUAUUUAUAAUAUAUUACAAUUAUAAUAUUUAUAAUGCAUGUAUUAUGUAUUUAUAACCCUUGGAUAAUGAACUUCUUUCAAUAAAGCCUUUCACAUUCUC